ACUAAUACAUUAAUUCUUCUAACUAUUUAAUCUUUCUCAUGCAUUAUACUUUCGUGUGUGGUUACAUAUUUAUCUAAACAUGAACAUUACAUCAUUCAGGAUUACAUUACUGUAAAUGUCUUUAUUAAUGAUACACUAAGUUUUGCAUUCUAUCUUAUUUCAUGCAUAUCUAUAUUUUUCUAUCCAAGCCUGCCCCCUAUUGGUUAUCUUGCUGUCUCUCAUAUAUGUCCAGCCAAGUCUGCUUUAUUUCUGCUGGGUGAUCCAGGCAAACUCUUACCUCAAACAUUCCUAUUGUACCUUCAAUUACAGUUGCUGGUACAAUCUCCCCUUCAUUAUUUUCCUUGAAUAUUACUUUACUUUCCCUGUAUACAUUUCUGACUCUGUUGAAUAUCUCUAAGCUUACAUUUUUCAAAAUUGUGACACCUUGUCCCACUGGCCUCUCUAGCGUUUCCCAAUAAUGGGCCACUUCAGUGCUGAGAUAAGGGAUUUGCACUUGUUUAGCUGACCUUCUUAUUUCUAUCCCAAAGGUGUCCAGCUGUUCCCCAUAUCCUGCCUGGCAAAGUCUUUCUAUGCCUGUUAAAAAGGUUCCAAGGUACAAGUUCUCCAUUGUGACUUCCAACCAAUCUACAAAAGGCCAUUCUUGUUCUAAUUCUGUUUUAGUUUGCCAUGUCGAUGACUGUGACAUGUCUGUGAAAUCUUGGAGAAGUGGCCAGCACUUUUCACAGAAAGCCAGGUCUUUGCAGAAUUCAAUCGCAUAUCUGGGGAAAAUCUGAGAUCUAUGGAGCGUUGGACACGUAUUCUGUAUGUUUGACUGAAAAUUUCGGAGAAAAGGAGGAAAUCAGGGAAGAACACUUGAUGAGAUUAUGCAUUAUGUUGACAAAUGUAUUUCUUUGUGAUUGUCAUCAUUAAAUCAUGAUUUGGCUAUGAUCGUUACCCUCACAUCUACCUGUAUCUACUUUUUCGUAGUCAUCUGAUGUUACACAUGUUUGCACUGCAGUGCUUCAGGGUCUUCCAAUCCUCUUGGGGAUGACCCAGAGUAUUUUUUCAGGAUGAGUUUCGUAAGUAUUUUUAUCACUGUUUAUACUUCUGAUUUGUGACAUUGGUGAUUUAAAUUAAAUUGAUGCAAUAAAAUAUACUGUAAAUUCAAUUCUGUGUUCUUAAAGGGUUAGUUCACCCAAAAAUGUAUUAUUUUUAAAUAAUUAAAAAAUUAUCCCAUAAUUUACUCACCCUCAAGCCGUCCUAGGUGUAUAUGACUUUCUUCUUUCAGCCAUACACAAUCACUAUCUCGUCCAAGCUUAAAAAUGGGAUUGAAUGGUACCUUCGAUUUUGAAGCCCAAAAAAAGCACAUCCAUCCAUUAAAAAAAUCAUCCAUACAGCUCUAGUGGGUUAAUAAAGGCCUUCUAAAGCGAAGUGAUGCAUUUUUUCCUAAUUGUAAAGGCUCUUUUUCUUUUUUUAUUAAAUAAAUACUUUUUGGGAGUUUGCACAGUGCCUGUUCUGCAAAUGCUCUAUACCUUGUUUAUGGUCCAGAUAUUAUGUUGUCAUGCAGCGGAGUGCUGCAAGAGGUCUAAGUCUUGAGAACAGAUUGUUUUUUUUAUUGUGUUGUUCUUAGAGUUUCAGCUGUUUAUUACGAUUUAUUUAUUUGUUUAUUUAAUUUCAAACUUGUUAAGUGCAUUAUUUGAACUAGAAAAAUUAUGUUCAGUUUACUUAAAGAGAAUGUGGAAACCGAUUGCACGUAGUAUUGCAACUUAAAAGUGAUACAGUAAACUCAUGUUGAGAUUAGUGGUAUUUCAGAUGUAAAGUGAACAAAUUGUAUUAAAUUUAAGUUAAUUGACUUCAUAGAGUAAUCUACUAAUAAAUAAUUUGUAAGGUUACUAAUUAAUUUAUAGAAAAUUAACAAAAAAAAUUAAGUUAACUAGAAAUGUACUAUUAAGUUUAAUAACA